AUGUGUCUAUGUAUGCUUCCUUGUCUUUCUUUUUCUAUUCCUUCCUUCCUCUCCUUCCAUCAUCUUGCUCACUCUCCUUUUCUCCUUUUCUCCCUGCACCUCCUCUCUCACCCGCUCCAUUUCGUUCUUGACCCUCUUCUCCAUAUGCUCCCUCUUUCUCCCUCACCUUUUUCAUCCUCUCUACCUCUUUCUCUCUCUCCUUCAUCCUCUCUACCUCUUUCUCUCUCCUUCAUCCUCUCUACCUCUUUCUCUCUCUCUCCUUCAUCCUCUCUACCUCUUUCUCUCUCCUUCAUCCUCUCUACCUCUUUCUCUCUCUCUCCUUCAUCCUCUACCUCUUUCUCUCUCCUUCAUCCUCUCUACCUCUUUUUCUCUCUCCUUUAUCCUCUCUUUCGCUCUCUCCAUCAUCUACCUCUUUUUCUCUCUCCUUCAUUCUCUCUACCUCUUUCUCUCCUUCAUCCUCUCUUUCGCUCUCUCCAUCAUCUCUACCUCUUUCUCUCUCCUUCAUCCUCUCUACCUCUUUUUCUCUCCUUCAUCCUCUCUACCUCUUUCUCUCUCCUUCAUCCUCUACACCUCUUUCUCUACCUCCUUCAACUUCUCUACCUCUUUCUCUCCCUCCUUCAUCCUCUCUUCCUCUUUCUCUCUCCAUCUUCUCUUCCUCUUUCUCACUCUCCUGCAUCCUCUCUAUUUCUUUCUCUCUCUCCUUCAUCCUCUACCUCUUUAUCUCUAUCUUUCAUCAUCUACCUCAUUCUCUCUCUCCUUCAUCCUCUAUGCUUCUUUCUCUCUCCUUCCAUCAUCUCGCUCACUCUCCUUUUCUCCUUUUCUCCCUGCACCUCCUCUCUCACCCGCUCCAUUUCGUUCUUGACCCUCUACCUCUUUAUCUCUAUCUUUCAUCAUCUACCUCAUUCUCUCUCUCCUUCAUCCUCUAUGCUUCUUUCUCUCUCCUUCCAUCAUCUCGCUCACUCUCCUUUUCUCCUUUUCUCCCUGCACCUCCUCUCUCACCCGCUCCAUUUCGUUCUUGACACUCUUCUCCAUAUACUCCCUCUUUCUCCCUCACCUUUUUCAUCCUCUCUACCUCUCUCUCCUUCAUCCUCUCUACCUCUCUCUCUCUCCUUCAUCCUCUCUACCUCUUUUUCUCUCCUUCACCCUCUCUCUCUUUCUCGCUCUCCUUCACUAGCUCUUUCUCUCUCCAUCAUCCUCUCUUUCGCUCUCUCCUUCAUCAUCUCUACCUCUUUUUCUCUCUCCUUCAUCCUCUCUACCUCUUUUUCUCUCCUUCAUCCUCUCUACCUCUUUCUCGCUCUCCUUCAUCCUCUCUUUCGCUCUCUCCAUCAUCUCUACCUCUUUUUCUCUCUCCUUCAUCCGCUAUACCUCUUUCUCUCUCUCCUUCAUCCUCUAUUCUGCUUUCUCUCUCUCCUUCAUCCUCUCUACCUCUUUCUCUCUCUCCUUCAUCCUCUCUUUCGCUCUCUCCUUCAUCCUCUAUGCUUUUUUCUCUCUCCUUCAUCUUCUCUACCUCUUUCUCUCUCUCCUUCAUCCUCUCUACCUCUUUCUCUCUCCUUCAUCCUCUCUACCUCUUUCUCUCUCUCCUUCAUCCUCUCUACCUAUUUCUCUCUCCUUCAUCCUCUAUACCUCUUUCUCUACCUCCUUCAUCUUCUCUUCCACUUUCUCUCUCUCUCAGCAGUCCAUAUAGAGCCUUCAAAGUUUCUUCCUUCACCUGUGCAUCCGCACUCUCUUUAA
rnacentral:lncRNA from 8 species